GACGAACGCUGGCGGCGUGCUUAACACAUGCAAGUCGAACGGAAAGGCCCUGCUCUUGUGGGGUGCUCGAGUGGCGAACGGGUGAGUAACACGUGAGUAUCCUGCCCUUGACUUUGGGAUAACUUCAGGAAACUGGGGCUAAUACCGGAUAGGAGCUCUUGAUGCACGGUGGGGGUUGGUAAGUUUCGGCGGUUGGGGAUGGACUCGCGGCUUAUCGGCUUGUUGGUGGGGUAGUGGUUUACCAAGUGUUUGAAGGGUAGCCGGCCUGGGAGGGUGACCGGCCACAUUGGGACUGAGAUACGGCCCAGACUGCAACGGGAGGCAGCAGUGGGGAAUAUUACACAAUGGGCGGAAGCCUGAUGCAGCAACGCCGGGAGCGGGAUGACGGCCUUCGGGUUGUAAACCGCUUUCGCCUGUGACGAAGCGUGAUUGACGGUAAUGGGUAAAGAAGCACCGGCUAACUACGUG
rnacentral:rRNA from 1 species